CCUACGGGAGGCAGCAGUGAGGAAUAUUGGUCAAUGGACGAGAGUCUGAACCAGCCAAGUAGCGUGAAGGAUGACUGCCCUAUGGGUUGUAAACUCCUUUUACAUGGGAAUAAAACAGGGUAUGCAUACCCUCUUGUAUGUACCAUAUGAAUAAGGACAGGCUAACUCCGUGCCAGCAGCCGCGGUAAUACGGAGGAUCCGAGCGUUAUCCGGAUUUAUUGGGUGUAAAGGGAGCGUAGGUGGAUUGUUAAGUCAGUUGUGAAAGUUUGCGGCUCAACCGUAAAAUUGCAGUUGAAACUGGCAGUCUUGAGUACAGUAGAGGUGGGCGGAAUUCGUGGUGUAGCGGUGAAAUGCUUAGAUAUCACGAAGAACUCCGAUUGCGAAGGCAGCUCACUGGACUGCAACUGACACUGAUGCUCGAAAGUGUGGGUAGCAAACAGGAUUAGAUACCCAGGUAGUC
rnacentral:rRNA from 1 species